GGACAAAACUGCACCUCCUAAGUGGCAGUUCUCCAAGUCUACCUGUAGUCCGUGGACUGGCCAGGCUUACAGGGAAUGCAUCCCUGUAGACAGUGCUUGACGGGACAGAUGCAGACCAGGAAAGGCUUGCACAACACCUAGGGGGCUAGAGGGAGAGCAGCAGAGGUAAGGUAGGGUUAGAACUCAGUGACGGGUGCACGCCUUUGAUCCCAGCACCUGUGGGCAGAGCCAGGAGGAUCUCAGAAUUUGAGGCCAGUCUGGUCUACAGCCAGGCCUACAAAGAAACCAUGUCUCUCAAAAANNNNNNNNNNNNNNAACAAAACCAAAACAAUUUUAUUUGACAAAAGACAAAAACCAGUUAUUUACAGUAGUUUUUUGCUCAAAUAUUGUUCAAUGGGACAACCGUGCUUCUCCACAUUUAUCUUACAGGCAACCUAAGCAGAGACCGCUCUACCUUUCUGAUGCCCUGUUUUAUCCCAGGAGGGGGAAUGCCAGAAUAUGUCAGCAGCAUGGCUCCCUCCCUCCUCCCUUGCUCAGUGCACUGUGGGGGGGAAAAGAAAUCCCUCAUCCUAGUAUCACCCCCGCCUUAGCAUCCUACAGCCAUCAUGGGGUCUCACAGACAGGUGGGGUAGCAGUGGGCAAACCACAAAGUCAAUGAAGCCAUGUUCCCUUCCCAGCAGUGCCUCAGGGUGACAGAGAGUUGAGCCUGCUGGGUCUCCUACAGGACAGGAAGCCAGAGGGAGGCAUGAGGCAGAGCCCAGGGAAGCAGCCCCUUACAAAUAGCCAUUCUCGCGCCCACUUGCACAGCAAGGGAUGGGUGAAGUCACUCAGGAGAGGUAUGGAAGCCUGCUAAGCCUCAGGGGCUCCCUGGAAAGGCCAGAGUGGUCUCUGCCUUCCUCGGAACAGGCACUCCAAGCCAGUCAACAUCCAAGAGCCCCGUCUGUGCUCACACCCGGGUGAACCUCAGACCACAGUCAGGGCUCCUCACAUCUUCUGGUUAUUCAGAACACAAGUAUUUUGGUUAAUACAAAUCUAGGAUUAGUGUUUCUUAGGAUAUAAAGAUGGGGUAUACUGUUGCUGAAAACUAAGCAAAGUAAACGGGAAAAGGGGAGAGAUUAAGACCAAGUGUGGUCUGUUUCCCCGGGGAAAUUUAGGCAGGCCCUUGCAAUACCUGAAGGGAGGUGGGCCAGUCGGUAGCCUCAGCAGCCUCUCCUCCAGGAAGGUUCCAGCUGCCUCUGUGAACAAGCAGCUUUCCGAAGGGCCUACUGACCAGCAGAUGGCUCACUCCUCCCAAGUAGAUGCUGGCACACGACAUUCUUGCCAAGCUCCAGAAUAAAUCCGAAACAAGCUACAAAGGUGGUGCAGGGUGGGGGUCGCUGGGGUGGGGUGAGGGGAGUUACUCAGAACAGAGAGAAAAACAGAGCUGUUUCACUCUAGCUUAACCACGACAAUAGAAACACGUGUGCCUCUGGUUUUGUCAUCUGUCUCUGCUGUGUCUAAAUGACCGUCUGGUGCAAAUAACCCACCACCUGUGGAUAUUUUCCUUCUGUCUUUUAUAAUAGGGAAGACCAAACCAAGAAUUAAACAACCACUCUAGUCUGAACUCAGCACCACUGCAGAGAAUCUGCUGGUCCCUAUACAACCAUCCUGUGGGAAGUAGAUUACCCACUUACCGAGCUCCACCCACCGUGUAAGGUGCUCUCUCCCCACACCUGUGCUUCUGGGCUACCUACUGCAUUAACACAAACCAC
ensembl:processed_transcript 5430405H02Rik RIKEN cDNA 5430405H02 gene